rnacentral:miRNA from 1 species
UGUAUUAGGUUGGUGCAAAAGUGAUUGUGGUUUUUGCCAUUUUUUUUUAAAGCUAUGGCAAAAACUGCAAUUACUUUUGCACCAACCUAAUA